CCAGCUCUCCCCUGGCGCAUCCCCAUCAUUUCCUCCCUCGUGCGCUCCCUCUCGAACCUUCCAAAACGCCCGAACCCUAGCGAGCUCGGAACCCUAGCAGCGCGCGGAUCUCGGCUCGGCGCCCCCACCCGCGCCAUGGACGAGGACUUCGAGAUGCCCCCGGCCGGCGCCGACGAGAUGAUGGGCGACGACGAGAUGGGCGACUUCGGCGGCGACGAGGGCCCGGUCAUGAAGGUGGGCGAGGAGAAGGAGCUCGGGAAGCAGGGGCUCAAGAAGAAGCUGCUCAAGGAGGGCGAGGGCUGGGAGACGCCCGAGGUCGGCGACGAGGUCGAAGUGCAUUACACGGGUACACUCCUUGAUGGAACAAAGUUUGAUUCAAGCCGUGAUCGUGGAGAUCCCUUCAAGUUCAAGCUGGGACAAGUGCAGAGAACAAAGAUGUCAGACGCAGUAAAGAUUAAAGAAGAAGUCCCACCAGGAAAAGUCUCAGCUGAAGCCACUUGUAAGUCUCAACCAAAUGUUGGAAGAGAAAAGGGCAAAGGAAAAUCUGUAUCUUUUGGUCUGUCAGAUGCUUCUGGGGUUGUUACUUCUACAGUUACCAAUUCUGAGAUGGGUAACUUCAGCAAUUCCUGUAAUGACAAAUUAACUGAUGAAAACUUACGGAACUUGUCUCAGCAGACGGUUGAAAAGGAACAUAAUGAUAAUGAGAGCUGGCACCAUGAGGGGGAACCAUUAGAUCAUGCUGUUGAAGAACUACCAAAAUCGGGUAUUGGAGAAAACAGAUCAUCUAUGAAACUACGGAGCAGGAAAAAGUCACAGAAAGUUGGGACACCUAAGCAUACAGAUGACUAUUUUGAUGAAGACUCUGUUGAACCUUCAUUAGUUGAAGAAGAUAAUGAUAGUGGUGAUGAUUACACUGCCGGUACUAAUCGGAAGGUUAGGAAAAAAUCAAGGGAUGAUGUGGAAGAGCCACAGCAGCAAAAUGUCCAAAAAGAUAAAAGCCAGGUAUCUUCACGGGGUCGCAAGAGAACCUUGAAAGAUGCAUCGGCAGAAAAACCUGAGAAGAAGCUUACCCAUAGAAUUCGUCAGAGGAGAGCGAAAGAGGUUAAGACUUUACUGGAAAAACCUCAUGAGAUAAAUCCCAUGAAGCUAAGUGCAGCACACCUGAGGUUGUUACAAGAGGCCAGAGAGCGUGUUAAUGCAAAAGAGAAUCCAUCUGGGCCAUCCUCUAAUACAAGCAGCUUUCAAUUUCAUGAUAUGGAUGAUUUGGACUAUGGAGAUGAGGAAGCAAGGAACUUCGACAAUGACAGAACACAGAACCAUGUACAAGAUACAAAAAAAUUGAACUACCAUUCCUACAUGAACAAACAAACUCGGGGCAAAUGGUCAAAAUCUGAUACUGAUGUGUUUUAUCAGGGGCUUCAACAAUUUGGUAGCGAUUUUGCAAUGAUACAGCAAUUACUCCCUGAUAAGACCCGUCAGCAGGUGCGGGCAAAAUUUAAAACCGAGGAGAAAAAAAAUCCGUUGCUAGUCCAUGAUGCUAUAAUUCAUCGCUCAGGAGAUAAUUUGUAUUUCAAAAAGGUAAUUAAGAAUCUCAACAUUGAAGAUGUCGCACAGCAAGAGAUUAACAAUACUCAUAAACAAGAUGGCGCAUCAAGUGAACCUGGAAAAGAGGAUGCACUGGAUGAUUGCAUCCAUGAGGAAGAUGAUUCGAAUUGGUUGGAUGAAGAGCCCGGCGUACAAAAGCCUGAAGAGCACGCUUCUGGAAAUGAUGACGAUGGUGAUCUUGGUGAUGUUUUUGAUUGGUACUAGCACGAUAAUCACGACAGAAAUUAGGAUCAUGAUCUAAUUCUGCUUACUUUGUGAGAAGAAUGAUUUGUCCAUGCAUGUCUGAGCACCUUCCCCCCUUGGGCAAAUCUAUUUAUCAUGCGCGCGAGUAGGCUUGCGCAAGUCGCAGAAGGACGCCGUUGUUUGGCUUCCUUGUUGACCCGGCGGCGGCCGGAGUUAGGGCCCUUUGGGGUGGUGGGGGUUGCUGGGGUCCGGUGGCCACUGGCAACCUCAGAAGAGGGGGGUGGGGGUGGUAGGGAAGACCGGUGGUGGCAGGUUGCGGGGCGGCGGCGGACGGCGGCGGGGAUGCCGCUGGCCGAGGGCGGCGGUUUGACAACUAGUGGGCUAGGGACUGAGCGGGGGCGUAGCGUUCACUCGGGUGGGGAUGGCAUCGGGCAGUGGAUGCGGCCGCAGGAGCCGCCAAAGAUGGGGAAGAUGGCUGGGGCGGGGGCGAGCGGCGGGGGAUCCUUCGGCGAUGGCUCAGCUCGCACUCACGUGCGUGGGGAAUAGACGCCCCCCUUCCCCCUUUGUUUCUCCAAUAGCAUCCUCUGUUGCUGUGUUUUCAAUAAAUGACCAAUGCCGCUAGAUGUGCUUGUAGAAUUGGUACCAUGAUGUUUAUUAUCAGUUGAUAUUUGAUUGAUAAUUGCUAGGAACAUUGAUUGAUACUUGGUGGCCUAACAAGUAAACGGAUGCAUAACUAUGGUCUGCAAUUAUUAAAACUGUUAAAAAGAAAGAAAAUACGCUCAGUCCACAUUUGAAGGCUGUGCUGCAGUCCUUAGGCUCCGUUGGGUUCAGUGUUUUGGGGCUGCUUUUGCGUUGAAAACGCAUAAGCUGAACCAAAGGGGUCCAACACCGCAGCACCUUUUCUCAACGCGGCUGCGUUUGCGCGUACAAAUGGAAUUCU